UUGUUGCAUGGGCGAUAUUAGACGCAGAACUGUGGGCGUUUGUACCGGUGGAAUCGAUAACCAAACGAAAUUCGUUGAAAUAACAAGCCUUGGGCAAUCACCACCAACAAUGCCACCGCCAUAAGGAAACUACCAAGAACACCUGUUCGCAACAAUACCCGAAAAUCAUCAAUCAUUUGUUUGUUACGACUACACCGAUGGAGUCUAAUGAUGGAGUCUCUACGUGUGGCCUUGCCGCAUGUUAGAAAUAGCAGCCAAAUCGCUUUAAAUCAUACUCUACCUUUAGGACUAAACGAUAACGACUUACACUCGAACACACGCCGGAUAAGGUGACCUUGUUUCCUUGUUCAUAGGAAAAAGUCAGGAUAGCCACGGCUGGAAUACUUAUGAUCGUAGAUCUGUUUGACCAGGAUCGACCUGGGGUUAAAUAACAAUAACGAUGAUCACUACUGCAUCGUUGACUUCAACAAACAGCAUUGUUAACAUCAGUAUUACAACCACCACCACCAUUACUACCACCGCAACAACAACAUUAACUAACACCACUGCCAACUUUGCUGGCUCUGAUUGAGCAGACUUAUCAGAAACGUUCCAUCCACGACAGUCCCGCAGGAUUACAUUAUAGAACGUGUUCUGUCUUUUUCAAAAUGGUAAGGUGUGAUUUGAAGGAAUUUGGCUGCUAUUUCUUGCAAGUCGAAAUUUCCUUCUUCAGCUCGUAAAAAUGAAAACCAGCACCACCACCACUGCGACUACUACCACCACCACCACUGCUACAACUAGAGUCGCUGCUGCUACUACUACGACCUUAACAGCAACAACGAGAACACCACCAAUAAGCAUCACCACUGCAUCACCAAAAAUACCAUUGAUCCCUCAACUGCCUCUACUACGAAAAUAAAAUUCGUAGCCACCAUCAACCUCAACCAUCCAUCGUUGUGAUCAUCGCCACCACCACCACCAACAGCAACUCAUUGAGAUCGUCAUUAAAUGUUACGGUCAGAUCAACAACACGAGCCAAUCACCCCCUCCGCCGCCACUAACACCAUCGCCACCAAAUUGUAAGACCACCGAUCAGACCACCGCCAACACCAGUGCAUUGAACUUGUCGUAACAGAUGAAGAAUCGUUAUUCUCAUAAUUAAGAUUGGCUGAAUGAAUCUGAAUCAGAGGCAUCAUUAGACGAAGCAGCUUCCAUUAAAUGAAGUUCAGAUUUUUAAACAAAUUCCAGUCACUUAUCAAAAUCAAGUAAAAAAAAGAAUACAAAUUAAAAAAUAUAUAUAUUGUAUGUUAUGAGCAGCAAGAGAUUUGGUUGUUAUUUCUAGCAUUUCGAACGACCACAUAGUGGCUUUCUCAGUUCUUGCAGAAGAGAAGAAAUAGAAGAGAAGGAGAAGGAGAAUAAAAGAAACAAAAAGGAAGUGGGGAGAAAGGAGAGGAGGAGGAGGAGAUGACUGUGAAAAUGAAAUAUUGGUAACAAAGAUAAAAAACCCCACAUAAAAAAGAAUAAAAUUUUUAAAAAAUGCAAAACUCAAAUAAACAAAUAAAUAAAUAUGAGCAGACAAACAAAUAUAAAAAAAAAAAAAAGGAGAGAGAAAAUGGUGAAUGGUAAAAAUAUGGAACAAGCACCCUGAAAG